AAGACCAUAUUUUCAGGGACCAUUUCUACAUUCUGUUACUAGAAAAGUUUCUCUCCAUGUGUAGCAUGCCCAAAACCACAAAGAAGAGAUGCAGUGUCUCUUCCUGAGUGUGAAGCCAGGUCUGGAUGUUGCUUCCCCAGCUUCCCUUUGCCACUGAUGAUUAUUUUUCUCCUCCUCUGGGAGAGUAAAAGGGAAAGGACAUCCUUUGAGAGGC